GGUCGCGCAUGCCCGGCGCUCGGCAGCUAACAUGGACGCUUGUUACGUCGCGGUCGAGGACUCGAUAGAAACGACCAUGUUCGACGGGCAUUUGCGACAUCAAGACGUGUAUUCGUUGUCCUAUUCUUAUCGGCUAACCUGUGGUUGCGUGAAGUCGGACAAUAUGCCACCAGAAGUUUGCACGAGGUGUCGUUAACUUCACUACUUGGAGUCACCAGUGCGUCGAAUCUUUCCCGCCAAGCUGACGAGCGAACAAGUUUUGUGGAUUUCCCUAUCAGGUAGCAAACAGAAGUGCUCUGACGAACUGUGCAGUGCUGGCCACCUUGUGAGCCAGGCAUUCCUUAAGAGGUGCUUAUUCAGCAUCUGUGGCUAACUCAAAGGAAGCACCUCUCAAAAGCAGUGCUGCAAGGAUGUGAGCCAGAAGUUUUUUUCAACGAACAGAUCAGAUGCCUGAGAGCCACGGGCAGGCUGCUUCUGGCCUACACAGACAGUGCAGCCACCAGAGUAAAGUGCUUGCAAAGACAUUCUACAAAACUGACCCAAAGGCAGACAGAAGACAAUACAGAUAGAAACACAGAAGCCAUCGGGCUGCCUCGGAAACUGUGACGGAACAAUAACCUACAUAUAGAAAGGAGCCAAGUGGAGCUAUUCAUAGGCCAUGCACACAGUUUCAUAAGCGGGCUUUAAGCACUUUUUACAAUUAUGUUUUUGAAUACAUCUGCCAAAGUUGUGUUCAAAAAAA